rnacentral:rRNA from 1 species
GAUGAACGCUGGCGGCGUGCUUAACACAUGCAAGUCGAACGAUGAAGCCCAGCUUGCUGGGUGGAUUAGUGGCGAACGGGUGAGUAACACGUGAGUAACCUGCCCUUAACUCUGGGAUAAGCCUGGGAAACUGGGUCUAAUACCGGAUAGGAGCGUCCACCGCAUGGUGGGUGUUGGAAAGAUUUAUCGGUUUUGGAUGGACUCGCGGCCUAUCAGCUUGUUGGUGAGGUAAUGGCUCACCAAGGCGACGACGGGUAGCCGGCCUGAGAGGGUGACCGGCCACACUGGGACUGAGACACGGCCCAGACUCCUACGGGAGGCAGCAGUGGGGAAUAUUGCACAAUGGGCGCAAGCCUGAUGCAGCGACGCCGCGUGAGGGAUGACGGCCUUCGGGUUGUAAACUUCUUUCAGUAGGGAAGAAGCGAAAGUGACGGUACCUGCAGAAGAAGCACCGGCUAACUACGUG